GGUGAAAAUAACAAGGCCAUUUUCUUCUUCUUCUUGCCGUGAGUUGAGAAAGAAAAUAGAAACCUUUGAGCUUAGGGCAUUUGGCAAAGAAGGCUUCAAAUAAGGUUGUGGAUUCUGACUACUAGCUCGGGGAUCGUCAGCACUUUAUCACACUAUCUACCAUUACGGUAGCCAUGAGAUUGGAUUAUCUUAUGGCAUGUAUAGAAUAAUUUGGUUAUUGUAUAUAAGCCAUGCGAAAAUGACAUCUUUUGAAUGUUUACUUAUAGAAGUUUACAUUUUA